rnacentral:rRNA from 1 species
GAGUAACAGAAGUGAGAACCAGCUUAUCAGAAAAAAAGUUUGAAUUAUGGCGAGAAAUAAAAGUCUGAAACAUUCUUCCCCUCCUCCUCAGAAAACCUACCGCGCUUCGCUUGGUCAACCCCUCAGCGGCAAAAAUUAAAAUUUUUACCGCUUCGGCGUUAUAACCUCACACUCAAUCUUUUAUCACGAAGUCAUGAUUGAAUCGCGAGUGGUCGGCAGAUUGCGAUA